rnacentral:lncRNA from 1 species
CAGCCCAUGUUUACAUAAACCAGCGGAUGGAGAGAGGGAAUAAAAUUAAAAUUCAGAGAAGAUGGAUUUCAUUUAAACCCUUUAUUUCUCUCUCUUAAUCUCAAUUCUUUCUCUUAAACCUUGAGAACAAACAAAAAGAAAACCCAUAAAGGGGACCACUCAGGAUCUAAGUCGGCGGUUCAUACGAACCUCAUGGUGGCACCUUUGAAUAUCAACGGCGGCACAGAUGAAUACCACGACGACGUUAUCCUACAGUCGUCUGACCACUACCACCCAUAAAAACAAACCUCUUAAAAAAAUCCUCUAAACCCUUAAAUCAAACAUGCAGAAACAAAACCCUAACUUCCCAAAAUUUAAAGAUGAGGUCUAGGUGAUUUGUAGGUUAGGAAUUUUUGGAAUAUUUGUUGCUCUGAGACUCUGAUUAGCUUAGAGUUUCUUAUGUGUAUGUGUGUGAAAAAAUUGGGCACAAUUAUAUAACAUUAUUGAGAGGGUGAUACUAGUACGUGUGAUAGGAUAUGUUUUCCUUUCAAGUGUGUAAGAAUUUCACUUGGAUAUGAAUGAAUUGAGAGAUGUUAGAGAGGAUUUACAUUCAUCCCUGAUUUUGUGGGAUUGAGUUGUGAGUGGAAUGAGGUGAAUCGUGUGAGCCAUGUGCUGAGUUUUUGGAUCCAAUUUUCUUUUGUUUUGUGGUAAUCAACAUGUCCCUUUUUACAGCAGUUAACUGUGAUAAUUGUUUUUUAUGAAAAUUUGAAAUGGUCCAAUGUUUUAUGCUGCAUAAUUGUUGCAUUGCUUUGCUGUGGUUGCUGCAUAACUCGUUGUGGUAAGGAUUUAAACAAACACGUUGCUGAAAACGAAAUGUCCCUUCUGUUAUGAUUCCAUUUUUUCCAAAUAAACUUGACCAUGCGUGUUUUACUGCAUAAUGGCUCCUUUGACCAUGCCAUAUUGUGUUUGAUGACUAUGCUGCAAUUUUCGUUUGCAUUGCCUUGAUCAUGUUGCAUAGCUACAUUUUUUAUAUUACAUUGGUUGUAUUGAUUGGAAACAUGUUGCAAUGCCUGCCUUGGGGACUAAUUCCUUUCUGGUGCUCUAGGUCUUUGUUGAUGAACCAUGGUUGGCAGAGUGGAUUCAAGUGCAAGAUAGAAUGGCUAGGAGAUUGAAGAUUGCAUGGAUCAAUGGAGCAAGGAAUUGGAUCACGUGGAAGCUUGUGGGAUAUUUACACAAUUAGCUUUUAGGCCUUGUUUUUAUGUUUUGUGAUGCGGUAUGGUGCCUAGGUUCAAGUUGACAAAGAAAAAGAAAGAUUCAAAUGUACAAAAUAAUGUAAUUUGAAAAGAGCAAAUGUUAAGUUUUUUUUUUUACAUUUGUUGAUACAAUGUAAUAUUUGUAACACAUCAAAGAAAUUUGAUAUAAAAAUGAGAACGGGCUACUUGGAUUCAAAAUCUAAC